GACCCAGGGAACUGAAACAUCUAAGUACCUGGAGGAAGAGAAAGAAAAAUCGAUUUCCUGAGUAGCGGCGAGCGAAACGGAAAGAGCCCAAACCAAGAAGCUUGCUUCUUGGGGUUGUAGGACACUCUAUACGGAGUUACAAAAGAAAGUUAUAAAUGAAGCGGUCUGGAAAGGCCCGCCAAAGACGGUAACAGCCCGGUAGUUGAAAUGGCUUUCCCUCCAGAGUGGAUCCUGAGUACGGCGGAACACGUGAAAUUCCGUCGGAAUCCGGGAGGACCAUCUCCCAAGGCUAAAUACUCCCUAGUGACCGAUAGUGAACCAGUACCGUGAGGGAAAGGUGAAAAGCACCCCGGAAGGGGAGUGAAACAGUUCCUGAAACCGUGUGCCUACAAGUAGUUAGAGCCCGUUAAUGGGUGAUAGCGUGCCUUUUGUAGAAUGAACCGGCGAGUUACGAUUUGUUGCAAGGUUAAGCGGAAAAAGCGGAGCCGUAGCGAAAGCGAGUCUGAAUAGGGCGCAUAAGUAACAGGUCGUAGACCCGAAACCAGGUGAUCUACCCAUGUCCAGGAUGAAGGUAAGGUAAUACUUACUGGAGGUCCGAACCCACGCACGUUGAAAAGUGCGGGGAUGAGGUGUGGGUAGCGGAGAAAUUCCAAUCGAACUUGGAGAUAGCUGGUUCUCUCCGAAAUAGCUUUAGGGCUAGCCUCGAGGUAAAGAGUCAUGGAGGUAGAGCACUGUUUGGACUAGGGGCCCUUCUCGGGUUACCGAAUUCAGAUAAACUCCGAAUGCCAUGUACUUAUACUCGGGAGUCAGACUGCGAGUGAUAAGAUCCGUAGUCGAAAGGGAAACAGCCCAGACCACCAGUUAAGGUCCCCAAAUAUAUGUUAAGUGGAAAAGGAUGUGGGGUUGCUUAGACAACCAGGAUGUUGGCUUAGAAGCAGCCACCAUUGAAAGAGUGCGUAAUAGCUCACUGGUCGAGUGACCCCGCGCCGAAAAUGUACCGGGGCUAAACAUAUUACCGAAACUGUGGAUGAACCUCUUUAGAGGUUCGUGGUAGGAGAGCGUUCUAAGGGCGGUGAAGUCAGACCGGAAGGACUGGUGGAGCGCUUAGAAGUGAGAAUGCCGGUAUGAGUAGCGAAAGAAGGGUGAGAAUCCCUUCCACCGAAUAUCUAAGGUUUCCUGAGGAAGGCUCGUCCGCUCAGGGUUAGUCGGGACCUAAGCCGAGGCCGAUAGGCGUAGGCGAUGGACAACAGGUAGAGAUUCCUGUACCAGUGCUAAUUGUUUAACCGAUGGGGUGACACAGAAGGAUAGGGAAUCGCACGAAUGGAAAUGUGCGUCCAAGCAGUGAGUGUGAGAAGUAGGCAAAUCCGCUUCUCGCGAAGCAUGAGCUGUGAUGGGGAAGGAAAUUAAGUACGGAAGUUCCUGAUUUCACGCUGUCAAGAAAAGCCUCUAGGAAGAGUAGUACUGCCCGUACCGCAAACCGACACAGGUAGAUGAGGAGAGAAUCCUAAGGUGAGCGAGAGAACUCUCGUUAAGGAACUCGGCAAAAUGACCCCGUAACUUCGGGAGAAGGGGUGCUCUAUUAGGGUGCAAGCCCGAGAGAGCCGCAGUGAAUAGGCCCAGGCGACUGUUUAGCAAAAACACAGGUCUCUGCAAAACCGUAAGGUGACGUAUAGGGGCUGACGCCUGCCCGGUGCUGGAAGGUUAAGAGGAGUGCUUAGCUUCGGCGAAGGUACGAAUUGAAGCCCCAGUAAACGGCGGCCGUAACUAUAACGGUCCUAAGGUAGCGAAAUUCCUUGUCGGGUAAGUUCCGACCCGCACGAAAGGCGCAACGAUCUGGGCACUGUCUCAACGAGAGACUCGGUGAAAUUAUAGUACCUGUGAAGAUGCAGGUUACCCGCGACAGGACGGAAAGACCCCGUGGAGCUUUACUGCAACCUGAUAUGGAAUGUUUGUACCGCUUGUACAGGAUAGGUAGGAGCCGAAGAGACGUGUGCGCUAGCAUACGAGGAGGCAAUGGUGGGAUACUACCCUGGCUGUAUGACCAUUCUAACCCGCCACGCUUAGCGCGUGGGGAGACAGUGUCAGGUGGGCAGUUUGACUGGGGCGGUCGCCUCCUAAAGAGUAACGGAGGCGCCCAAAGGUUCCCUC
rnacentral:rRNA from 1 species